rnacentral:lncRNA from 10 species
CAUAAUUAGAAAAGUAUCACCAUUUUCCUGGGACAAAAAUAUGUAAGUUUAAACAUUUUUAGUGCCAGGUCAGUAGUCACGAUUUACCAACAGCAUUUUUUAUUUUAAAAAUACAGUUAGUGACUACACCAUUGGCUAACAAACUGAGACUUAAAGCAUUCUCUAGAUGCAAAUGCUACAAAUAAAUCAAAUUAUUAGGCAUAUUCACUAAUACUUACAAACUUAACUUCAUAUAUAAAGCAAGGUAGAUCACCAGUGUGGCCAUGCAAACAGGGUUUGAGGACUUCAAUAUUUAAAGCAAGUUAGUCCAACCCACAGCCCAAGGGCCACAUGCAGCCCAGGAUGGCUUUGAAUGAGGCCCAACACAAAUUAGCAAAUUACUAAACUUACUUAAAAUGAUGGGAUUUUAUUUUUUGCCAUUUUUUGGUUUGUGUGUUUGGUUUUUAGCUCAUCAGCUUUGUUAGUGUUAGUGUAUUUUAUGUGUGGCCCAAGACAAUACUUCCAAUGUGGCCCAGGGAAGCCAAAAGAUUGGACACUCCUGAUUUAAAGGGAAAAGGGAGGGCAGAUGAAGAAAGAGGAUAAAAAAAAGAGAGAGAAGGUAGACAAAACAGGAAAGUGGUUAGUCUUUGGAGGCUUUGAUUAGCACUUACUGAAUCUACAUUUUACAUGUGAAAGGAGUGGGUAGCGAAACAGUGAAUUAUGCAUAGUGCUCAGUGCGUCUGCAUUUUUGCAUAAGAUAAAGUAAACAUAGAGGAGGUGCUCAAAUAUGCAUUCCUCUCAGGUGAGCCAAGGGAUGCCCUCUAGGCCUGUCUUUGUCAAGGUACCGGUGAAGAUAAGCUGUUAGUUUACAUUGUCAAGGUGAAAUAGAACAGCGUUCUGUUUUAGGGUAAAGCUCUUGGGGCCCACGAGGAAUUUCCUUGUGAGCAAUUUGUGAAGGAGGCCACCGGGGGAGACAUGUGGCCUUCUGUCUUUGCAGCUAUCUACUUAGGAACAAAAUGGAAGGCAGUUUUUGCAUGAUGCAGUUACUGAGCUUCACUUUUCCCUUUGGCAUAGUGAGUUUGGGGUCCUGAGAUUUUUAUAUUCCUUUCACAGCCUCACUAUACUUGAAUUAAAAUACAAUCUACAUGUUAAAACUGACCACAUCAUUCUUUCCUGUGUGUCUUCAAAGGAUUUAAGGCCCAUCCAGAUAAUCCAAGAUGAUCUCAUUUCAAAGCCUUAAUUAUAUCUUUGAUGACUCUUUUUCCAAAUAAGGUCUCAAUUAGAGGUUCCUGGAAUAAGACACGGACUCAUCUCCCUGGGGGCCACCAUUCAGCCUGAUCCGGAAGGAAGGCCAUGAUUUCAGCUCUCUGGGAUUUGAGACAAAGAGGCCCCUUUUCUUUCAUUUUAUCUUUUCAUGUCUCUUCUUGCCAUGUACCCACAUGAUUGAGUGUGGGCUGAGGGUGAAUCCAAGAAGGGCUUUGUUUUGUGGUCAGUACAGGCUUUGGUCCACAGAGACAACAAUACUUUCAAUACUCUUUUGUUCUGCCCCAGAGGAGCUCAACACAGAAUUGCCUAGAACAAGAAACUGGUGAGAGAAGCUGCAGCCUGUUGAGACUCCACAAGACUGAAGAUAUGAAAAGAGGAAAUAUGCAUGAAUGCCCGCACGGAGAACCACCCCCACCUGCUGCUCCCGCUCUAAUGAUCACGCCCAUUAUCAACUGGGGGAUGGCUCUGUGCCUUGUCCUUGCAUUACAUGGACCAAGAACACUUCACAGGACUCAGAGAGGCAAAAAUAGAUACAAAAGAAGAAGGAAUUACAGAAGAAGUCACAUAACAUUAUUGCCUACAACUGACUGUUUACCUUGAAUACUUGAAGACCAGAAUGAAGAUUCUUGGGGUGAAGAAUUACAGCCUUAGCAUGGAGCAGGCCUCGGUGCAUCGGCUUUCAGCUAGGCAUGCCUGCCAAUGUUCAACGUCCUCCUGGGAUACGGAAGGCACCGUGAUAGACAUCUGGGCAAGUCAACAGGAAGGUGGAUAUCCAAAUCUCUCUCUUCGCAAUGAGUUUCCAGUUAGAUGGAGGAGAGAGUAAUAAAACACAGAGCUGAGAUUCCUGACUUCACAGAUCCCUGAGGAGAUGUUUACUAAAGGGAAUCUUCUGGUCACUGUUACCUUCCUCCGUACUUACCUGCCUCAUGGAUAACACUGAAGAAUGCAGUUUACUUACAUCUUUUUCUGUUUGACAGAAGACAGUUAUUAGAACCCGAAAGGAAGAAGCUAUACGACUGGGGACACAUGUCUUAGAAGCACACUCAUUAGAUAAAGUGUCGCAUACUCUUUGAUAAGAGGUUGCUGAAGUCAAAAGCAGCUCACUCCCAGUUCACUGAGCUUGAGUUCCGGCUGCAACUUGGCCUUGAGAUUUUUGAAACGUUGAUAUGGAAGAUAAAGAAAAACGCAGAUUCCUGUCUUCUAAGGAACAAAGGCUGGAAGACAGUUCUGCAGAUUCUGCCUUUGAGGGAUUAGAGGGAUGUGCCCAGGACCAGAUCUUCAGUUAUGCAAAUAUACCUUAGAGACCACAGUAAGAAAGACAUCGCUCUGAAAUGCUCUGGUCCCAAGGAAAAUAUUGCUCUAUAUAAUAAUGGAAAACGUUGUCUGUGUAUCAUGCUGAGCUGCAUUUUAUUUUGUACCCUUGAGAGAGCUUUUAUUUUCUUAUAAAUAAGGAUUGGUCUUGUUCUGGGUCUGAAAACUGUUGUGUAUUUUUGAGAUGUCUAUUUUUCUUUUCAGUUGCCUGUAAGAGAUUGGGAGCCGAGGGCCUGAGGGUGAAGCCUCGUUUGUGCAGGUGACUGUGGGACUCUGGUGUAAGUAACGCUGGGCCCACCCUGGUAAUGAAGGAAGACCCAGGCCCAGGCAGGGGCGGUGUCACAGGCACAGGGGCUCGCACCCUGGGCACUGACGGUGGCUGUCGCACCAGGGCCGCUCCUUGCAGAAACCUCACUGAGCCUGUGCCUGUUGAGUAGCUUCAUGAGGAGCGGAUAUCAGGCAGAGAAAGCCCGGGCAAGAGAGUGACACACGGGGCUUCUGCCCAGAACACGUGCGCCCACAAUCCCGGGAGCUGUACAAAUCCCAAGCGGGGAAGCGGAGGCCUCGACAGUUCAUGAUGCGGACAUGAAUGGGAAUGCGGCCGCUUGCCACACCUCCUUCUUCAUUUGGGGAAAUGCUUGAAGGUUUGUUUUGUGAAUGCUAGGUUAAGGUUUGGAAGUUUAUUUUAAAAAUUGACAUCAUGGCCGGGCGCGGUGGCUCACGCCUGUGAUCCCAGCACUUUGGGAGGCCGAGGCGGGCGGAUCACGAGGUCAGGAGAUCGAGA